UUAAAAGGCUUUCUGCUUUUGAAUUCAAAUGCUACAGGUGAUUGCUGUGCAUUAGCGAUACCUCACACACUACCAGCAAAGAAGUAAUAUCAAGAUAAUCAGACAAAGAAAACUUGAGUUUGUGGGAUGCAUGGGUCAAAUGAGUGGAUGAAGAUUGCUGAAGAAAGGUUUUCAAGGGACUUGUGCAAGACACCAGGGGCACCUUCAGCAAGUGUGGUUUGAUGCUGUGGCUGAGAUGGGAUAUGGUACGCCACACUUCUCAAGGCUGGGCAAAGACUGAAAUGUAGAGGAAAACUGCUGGCAAUGACUUCCGUGUGCUGUUUACUGUUCAUUGUGAUUGUGACUUUUCAUGCUUUGCACUAUGAGAGAAGGUAUGUAUGUAAUGUCCAAAACACUUUAGCAGCAAUGAUCCAGGCACCCUCUGAUAUUAACAUUUGCACAAAUGAAAAAGUGUUUGAACAUAAACAUCUAUGAAUGGAUUUUAAAAUUACAUCUCCUAAUAUCACUGAAGAAAACUCAGAAUUUCAAUUCUCCAGGUGGUGUAUAGAAAAGCAGGACUGGCCCUAUGUUUUGUUGAGUCCUACACGAAGGAACUUGAUUUGAUUGGGGCCCCAAUCAAUCAGAUUCACUCACCUUUAUGGUCAGGUUGCACGAUGUUCAUUUAAUUACAAUGGUCCCUUGCUAACUCCUGUCUGCUGCAAACCUAUCAGGCUGUGGUUACAAUCUGCAGACUUUGACAAACCCCAUAUGUGGGCUGAAAACCCAGAAGAUGGAGCCAGAGAGCAACACUCAAAAGCAGGGAGCAGAGCGGACAGUGACAUGAGUCUGGCAGGUGUUAGGAGUUGCAGGAGGUUGGUGCGGAGAUGACAGACAGAAGUGUGGCAUAUCCUAUUGAUGUCCCAGCCUGGUAUCCUGAUAUUGCAGCCGUUUGUUGAUGUGCAGAAUAGGUUCGGAACAGGAAGCAAAAACAAACGUGCAGGUUUCCUCACAUGGUUCCACCAGUCAGCGUCAGCUAGGAUUGAUAGGUACCACCCCAGGACCAAGGUCUCCAUUGUCAUGCAGUCCUCAGCCACUGUUAAGACUGCAAACAAGGGUGCUAGUUAGGUAUCUCUCAGAAAUAGCAGUAUCCACUGGAAGCUGGUCUGAGAACAUGUUCACAUCACAUGGCCCAAUAAACAGCUGGUUGGUAACAGUAUCUGUCAAGGUGGAAUUUUAAAAUGAUGACACAGAGGUGAAAGUCUCCAGCAUGCCAAUUACCAAUACCGUGAGCCCUCCAGCACACUUCCUUAUUGGAUACUAUGGGCCUGAUUCAGCACCCUUUGAAAAUCAUCUGCUAACAUUCCUGUUAAUUUCAAUGAGAUCAGGAACAGGCUGUACUUUGGAAGUAGUAUUUACUGCACACCGCUCAAAUAACCUUUCUUCUAUCAGCAUUAUACCUCCCUUCUGCCAUGGAGAAACAAAGCACUGGAAGAUACUUCAAAGAUUUUCAAGGGAGGCUGGAAUAAACAGGGAACUAUUUUGGGUUUUAUAAAUGUUGUUGGUAAGAAGCCACAUCAACCCAUCCAACCUUAAUGCAUCUACAUAAAAUUUGUGAAAAGAUGAAAAUAGCAAGUUACUAAGCGAUUUUGGGAAACUGAUCUCUAGAAUACAAAAUGGGAUUUUAUAUUCUCCUGUGGAUCGAUUGUAACAUUACAGUCUGCCUUGAGAAGUGACAGUCAUAGCUAUACCCCCCAGGAACAGACCACGAAAGAGAAUUGUGACUCAAUCACAAUUCUUCCCCUGGUCCGGGAGAGAGGGCAAGAUUACCUUGAUGUUUUUUGUGGUGUAGCUUAUUCACCCUGUGAACCUGGUAGACACUUUGGCCAGCAAAUUAGGAGUGUGGGGAGAGAGUGGAGCCAAGACUUCUUCCUCUCCCUUUCCUCAUCUGUAGCCACCUUGCCCACAAGUAGGGUACGUAGGAUGAGGAGUCCCUGCCUGCUCUAUCUGAACAGGUCUUACUCACUUGAACAGGGGAAUAAAGUGGUAAGGGGAAACAGGGUUAGUCUCCCUUUUAUGUGGUGAGGCAGGGGAGUAAAGGGGCUAGAGUGUCACUUCUAGGAAUUGGUUAUUUGGAACCUUGUAGAUGUUUUGCAUGCUUUACCAUCCAACAUUAAGGGGGAGUGAGCAGCUAAAUUGGAUGUGGUGAAAUGAGAUAAGGAAGGAGUAUUGGCCCCAAGGAGCAGAUUACUGGUGAUUUCCAGAAACACUAACUAGUUUGGUUUUUUGAACAUACAGAAAUUGGUCAAUAAUUGCAUUGUU